AGUUGGUCAUUCAGAGGCUUAUGACAGCCGCAGUGAACUUGGGAGGGAAAUAAGCCACCCUUUCAUAAUGGAAACAAAUCUGGCAGGAUUAAUAAUGGAUCUUCUGUGAGAGAUAGGUGUGGGGAAGUCAAGUGAUGGGAACACCCUUAAAAAGGUCCACAAGGAGUAAACAUACUGCAGCUCACCCAGACUACAAGAAGGUAUAAAAUGGAGAUUUCCAGCUGAGACAUGGGAUUGAAUUUGCCUUGAAAUUCUAAACCCUCCGCAGCUUUGUCUCUCUACAAGUCAACUGUGAGCUUACCUAGCAACAACACGCAAGAUGUGCCUGCUCAAAAAUAUCCCAAAUACAGCCUUUUCAAUUACAGCA